UACGAGGGGGGCGAGCGUUGUUCGGAAUUAUUGGGCGUAAAGGGUGCGUAGGCGGUUCGGUAAGUUUCGUGUGAAAUCUUCGAGCUCAACUCGAAGUCUGCACGAGAUGCUGCCGGGCUUGAGUGUGGGAGAGGUGAGUGGAAUUUCCGGUGUAGCGGUGAAAUGCGUAGAUAUCGGAAGGAACACCUGUGGCGAAAGCGGCUCACUGGACCACAACUGACGCUGAGGCACGAAAGCUAGGGGAGCAAACAGG
rnacentral:rRNA from 1 species